CCUACGGGUGACAGCAGUGAGGAAUAUUGGUCAAUGGGCGCGAGCCUGAACCAGCCAAGUAGCGUGAAGGAUGACUGCCCUACGGGUUGUAAACUUCAUUUAUAAGGGAAUAAAGUGAGGUACGUGUGCCUUAUUGUAUGUAUUUUAUGAAUAAGGCUCGGCUAACUCCGUGCCAGCAGCCGCGGUAAUACGGAGUGUCCGAGCGUUAUCCGGAUUUAGUGGGUUUAAAGGGAGCGUAGAUGGGUUGGUAAGUCUGUUGUGAAAGUUUGCGGCUCAACCGUACAAUUGCAAUUGAUACUGGCAGUCUUGAGUACAGUUGAGGUAGGCGGAAUUCGUAGUGUAGCGGUGAAAUGCGUAGAUAUCACGAAGAACUACGAUUGCGAAGGCAGCUUACUAAACUGCCACUGACGUUGAUGCUCGAAAGUGUGGGUAUCAAACAGGAUUAGAUACCCGGGUAGUC
rnacentral:rRNA from 1 species